rnacentral:rRNA from 1 species
AGAGUUUGAUCCUGGCUCAGGACGAACGCUGGCGGCGCGCCUAACACAUACAAGUCGAACGAGCGAGAGAGAGCUUGCUUUCUCGAGCGAGUGGCGAACGGGUGAGUAACGCGUGAGGAACCUGCCUCAAAGAGGGGGACAACAGUUGGAAACGACUGCUAAUACCGCAUAAGCCCACGGGUCGGCAUCGACCAGAGGGAAAAGGAGCAAUCCGCUUUGAGAUGGCCUCGCGUCCGAUUAGCUAGUUGGUGAGGUAAUGGCCCACCAAGGCGACGAUCGGUAGCCGGACUGAGAGGUUGAACGGCCACAUUGGGACUGAGACACGGCCCAGACUCCUACGGGAGGCAGCAGUGGGGAAUAUUGCACAAUGGGGGAAACCCUGAUGCAGCGACGCCGCGUGGAGGAAGAAGGUCUUCGGAUUGUAAACUCCUGUUGUUGAGGAAGAUAAUGACGGUACUCAACAAGGAAGUGACGGCUAACUACGUGCCAGCAGCCGCGGU